CGUCUACCACAGAUCCUCGUGAUCACAACGAUACAAAGUGUGGUAGUACCCCCGAACAAUCUACACCAGUACUGGGGACGUCGGGGUUAUCUCACCACUACUCGUAUUGAAGCAAUAACGAACACCCUUCGUUCUUAGGUACUCAGAAAUCUGAAUGAUGGCGAUGUGCGCGAUAAUCCCUGGAGCUCAACUCCCCUGAUACUUAGAGCAGAUAGGAGGCACCAGGACACGAUUCCGUCACAUCGAAAUCAUAUAGAUUUCGCAAACACCCGCGUGAUCCUAAAAAAAUUUUGAGCGGGAAAAGGAGUAGAGUUAAAGAUUUCCUAAGAUGGAAGCCUCACCAGAGCAAAGAAGAGGAGAAAAAUGAAACCUACUCUCCGAUAUAACUAAGACUCAAAACAUAUACUACACUCGACUCGGCCAAAUACGAUCACACAAAGGCUCCUAUGGUCGUAAGGCUCUGAUUACCAACUUGUAACGACCAAGAUGCGGUCCUUUCCGAUCUGGGGGUCGAGGCCCCCGAAUAGGAAAGAAGCGCAUCUAAGUGUUUUGCAAGCAAGUAAACAUAGCACAUAAUACUAAAUAAAGUAGACAAUCUGGGGUUCAACUGUCUUCUUAUUAAUGAUACAGAGUACAACGCAGAUACAAACAAUGUAGUUCCGGUACGGACUACAAAACAAGGAAAAUGCUAUGCUACCCGCUGCAGGCCCACGAUCACGACCACGGCUCAGACCUCUGGAUAGUUCACGAAAAGGCAAUCUGUCUCCUCGUCGUACUGCCACGCCAGCUGGGUGCCGUCGGGAUCAUCUGCCUCUGGGGUACCUGUACCUGCUGGGAGUGUCGGAGGAAUCCGUGAGCCACGGGGACUCAGCAAUCUAAGACCUUGGUGCCAGAACUAGUCAUGUUAUUGGGUAAGGAAGGGGUGAAGUGUUUCAGGUUGUUGCAUCCUAAGUUUGAACAAGUGGCUAGCUUACGCGAAGGAGAAGUGACAGUGUUCUAUACUAACGAUCGUGAUUACUUGAUCAGAAAGUGAUCCUGAACACCUACCUACGGCAUUCAUAACCCCACCGUGUUCCCGAUCGAAGAGAGAUCUUCGAAGAGACAGUCACGGUUACUCACA
rnacentral:lncRNA from 1 species